UGUUAAAAAUUUUAUCCAUUUAUACUGUUAAAAACUAACAUGGCUAAUCGAAUAACUAAAGAAUGAUACAUGGCAUGCCAUGUGUAUUUCAUGUUGACAUAGGAGAACCAAUUUUUAACAGUAGAAAUGGAUGUAAUUUAACA
rfam:Gossypium raimondii Chr06_contig_428, whole genome shotgun sequence.